UCGAGAAUCUUCGGCAAUGGGCGCAAGCCUGACCGAGCGACGCCGCGUGCGGGAUGAAGGCCUUCGGGUUGUAAACCGCUGUCGGGAGGGAUGCAGAGCUCCGGAGGAAGCACGGGCUAAGUUCGUGCCAGCAGCCGCGGUAAUACGAACUGUGCGAACGUUAUUCGGAAUCACUGGGCUUAAAGGGUGCGUAGGCGGCGCUGUAAGUCAGGUGUGAAAGCCCUCGGCUCAACCGAGGAAUUGCGCUUGAAACUGCAGUGCUUGAGUGAGGUAGGGGUGCAUGGAACUUCCGGUGGAGCGGUGAAAUGUGUAGAUAUCGGAAGGAACGCCGGCGGCGAAAGCGGUGCACUGGGCCUUGUCUGACGCUGAGGCACGAAAGCUAGGGUAGCGAACGGAUUAGAUACCCGAGUAGU
rnacentral:rRNA from 1 species